GAUGAACGCUGGCGGCGUGCCUAAUACAUGCAAGUCGAGCGAACAGACGAGGAGCUUGCUCCUCUGACGUUAGCGGCGGACGGGUGAGUAACACGUGGAUAAACUACCUAUAAGACUGGGAUAACUUAGGGAAACCGGAGCUAAUACCGGAUAAUAUAUUGAACCGCGUGGUUCAAUAGUGAAAGACGGUUUUGCUGUCACUUAUAGAUGGAUCCGCGCCGCAUUAGCUAGUUGGUAAGGUAACGGCUUACCAAGGCGACGAUGCGUAGCCGACCUGAGAGGGUGAUCGGCCACACUGGAACUGAGACACGGUCCAGACUCCUACGGGAGGCAGCAGUAGGGAAUCUUCCGCAAAGGGCGAAAGCCUGACGGAGCAACGCCGCGUGAGUGAUGAAGGUCUUCGGAUCGUAAAACUCUGUUAUUAGGGAAGAACAAAUGUGUAAGUAACUAUGCACGUCUUGACGGUACCUAAUCAGAAAGCCACGGCUAACUACGUG
rnacentral:rRNA from 1 species